rnacentral:rRNA from 1 species
CGGCGGACGGGUGAGUAACGCGUGGGUAACCUGCCUCAUACAGGGGGAUAACAGUUGGAAACGGCUGCUAAUACCGCAUAAGCGCACAGUACCGCAUGGUACGGUGUGAAAAACUCCGGUGGUAUGAGAUGGACCUGCGUCUGAUUAGGUAGUUGGUGGGGUAACGGCCUACCAAGCCGACGAUCAGUAGCCGACCUGAGAGGGUGACCGGCCACAUUGGGACUGAGACACGGCCCAA